rnacentral:rRNA from 1 species
GACAGAAGGUGCGGGCAUUAUUUGGUGUUACUGGGUGUAAACGGUACGUAGGCGGUCGGCGUGUUUUGUAGACAAAAGGAUAGGGAUUUCCCAUAUCGUGUAAACAAAUACAAUCCGUCUAGAGUAAUUUACAAGAAAGAAGAACUUUGUAGCGAAGAGUAAAAUUUGCCGAGCUACGAAUGAUUGCCGACUGGUGAAGACAUCUUUCUAGGUUUUACUGACGCUGAGGUACGGAAGCUUGGGGCGCAAACAGG